GCCUUUAUAGCUCAGUUGGUAGAGCACUCGUCUAAUUAACGAGAGGUCUCCAGUUCGAUUCUGGGUGGAGGCA
rfam:Phlebotomus papatasi Contig39.72, whole genome shotgun sequence.